rnacentral:tRNA from 1 species
UCCUGGUGGCUCAGAUGAUAGAGCGUCUGUCUACAAUGCGGGAGACCCGGGUUUGAUCCCUGGAUCAGGAA